GACGAACGCUGGCGGCGUGCCUAAUACAUGCAAGUCGAGCGAAGCGGCGGAUGGUUUAGUAACGCGUGGUUAACCUGCCCUUAAGUCUGGGAUACCAUUCGAAAACAGAUGCAAAUACCGGAUAAUAAAGGAGGGACCUGCGUCGCAGUGGCUAGGUGGUAAGGUAACGGCCUACCAAGGCGAGGAUCCAUAGCCGGUUUGAGAGGAUGAUCGGCCACAUUGGGACUGAGACACGGCCCAAAAUCCUACGGGAGGCAGCAGUAGGGAAUCUUCCACAAUGGGCGAAAGCCUGAUCGAGCAACGCCGCGUGAGUGAAGAAGGUUUUCGGAUCGUAAAGCUCUGUUGUUUGUGAAGCGGUAACAAACCAGAAAGCCACGGCUAACUCCGUGCCAGCAGCCGCGGUAAUAC
rnacentral:rRNA from 1 species